UCUUUUUAUUUCACAACUCUCUCUCUCUUCUCUCAGACCCCAUUGCUCUCUAAAAUGAAAAAGAGCUCUCCUUCUUUCACAUUUUUCUCUCAUUUCCUUACUCCUCCUCACCCUUAGCCGCGCAACCACACACACUUUCCUCUGCAAAAAUCCGAACACAGCCUUACCACAGAGGUUCUCGAUCUGGAAGUUUAGCCAUGACAAAGAAAACGCAAACCAGCUACAACCUUGCAGAUCUGGUUCCUGCAAAAGAUCUGUGACAGACCCGAGAAAGAACUCUCAAACUGAAAAUCCACUGGACAUAAAGCAUGGCCCAUCAUGAAGGUUUUGAUCUUUCGACUAUGAAGGAAAUGUGGUCACUGAUAGAUCCGUGGGAAAUAAAGUGGACGGCGAGACCUCAGCUGCAAUAGACAAAAACGGGACAAGCUUCUAAGAACCCAGAUCGGUGAAUCUGGGAGGUAAAAUUUCAUAUCCUUGCAAGUGGAAUUGUUGUAGAUCUGGUAAUAAUAGCUGUACUCAGUUCUGUGGUGUAUGGAUCUGUGAUUUAAUUGUGCUUCCUCCAUGCAUCGCACAACUGAGCUGCAGAAAAUUAACUGCUCUAAACUCUGUUUCUGUGCUGGAUCUGCAACAAUCUCCCCCAAACUUGUAUCUGUGAAUGACUUGUUAACUGCUUUAAAUUUCCAGCAUAGUGUAGAUAUGGUUGAUGUGAACGUUAGACUUGCUGCUGGGUGCAGGAUUCCAGCAUAGGACGCGCUUUAUUUUCCACGUUCGCAACCUGCAAUUAACCAAUAUGUGUUAAAA